rnacentral:rRNA from 1 species
AACUUAAAGGAAUUGACGGGGGCCCGCACAAGCGGUGGAGCAUGUGGUUUAAUUCGAUGAUACGCGAGGAACCUUACCUGGGCUUAAAUGGGGAGUGACAGCUGUCGAAAGAUGGUUUUCUUCGGACACUCUUCAAGGUGCUGCAUGGUUGUCGUCAGCUCGUGCCGUGAGGUGUCGGGUUAAGUCCCAUAACGAGCGCAACCCUUACCGUUAGUUACCAUCAGGUUAAGCUGGGGACUCUAGCGGGACUGCCACCGUAAGGUGAGAGGAAGGUGGGGAUGACGUCAAAUCAGCACGGCCCUUAUGUCCAGGGCUACACACGUGUUACAAUGGCCGGUACAAAGGGCAGCGACAUCGCGAGGUGAAGCCAAUCCCAUAAAAUCGGUCUCAGUCCGGAUUGGAGUCUGCAACUCGACUCCAUGAAGUUGGAAUCGCUAGUAAUCGUGGAUCAGCAUGCCACGGUGAAUACGUUCCCGGGCCUU